AUCAAAUUCAGUUAUGUCUGGC
rnacentral:miRNA from 1 species